UAACCACUUAUUUUUUGAAUGUUCAGUUACAAGGAGUCUGUGGUCUAGACUCUGUCUCUGACUGAGGCAUCACAGGUCUGUUGGUGAUUGGGAAACAGAAUUGAAAUGGAUAUGCAGUAAAGCAAAAAGCAGAGUGGGUCUUAAUGCUAUAACAACAUGUGUAUUUAUCAACACUGUUGCACUUAUCUGGAGGGAGAGGAGUAGCAUCAGAUUUGACAGGAAAGUCUAUGAGGAGAAUCAGAUUUGCA
rnacentral:lncRNA from 1 species